UAUAAAUAAUUGUUGAAUAUUUUAUUUUUUGUUGAAAAGUAAUUUUCAAGACUAUUGUGUUAUCGUUCUAGAAAAUAUAAGUAAUAAUUAUAUUCCAGCAUCGUUAUAAGCGCGAAAACUAGUUUUAAAGUUUUGGGCAAUUAUCUAUAUGCAAUCCAACUUACACUGGUGCAUGAACAAUUGCAUAUGGAAUGUUCUUUAGUUUAUUUUCUUAAUUCCUUGGUUUCCAAUAACAGCUAAAUUCGUUGCUGCUUUCACAUUAUAAUUUUACAAUACGGUAAAAUUAUUUUCAAUUAUAUUAUUGCAGUAAAUACUAUUUUACUUUUGAUUUCUUUUUUGGUGUAUUUUUAUUAAAACUAAUGUCUGGUUCUUUAUUGAAGAGAUGUAGUUAAUUCACUUUUUGUUCAAUAUUCGCAUAAUUAUACAUUUAAAUGUUGUUUUAAUUGUUUUAAUAGGAAUAUUACAUAAACUCUGGACAUGUGUAGUUGGGGUAAUUCGUUAUUAGUAUAACUGAACACACCUAUAAAAUAUAUUAUCUAUGUAUCACAGGUAUAGAAGGAAUUUUUAUCUAUGGACUUCCGCCUCGUUUCAUCUUGAUUUCUAUGAUCUUCAUCUUGUCCGUUCUUCGAGAAGACGACGUGCCACCAUUUUUGCAGUCCGUAAAUGGAAACAACGCCUGAAGGUUUCUAUUAAAACAUAGUAAAUGUACAUGGAGAGGGGAAAUGUGGAGAAGCAAAGUCUCCAAUCAUGCUUGUUUCGCGUGGUUAUAGAAAUGGGUCAUUUGUGGAAAGGGAUGUCAUUUAAACAUAUUAAAUGAAGAAGAAGACAAAAAGUAAAUAGGAUUCAAAACCUAGAGAAUUGGAGUCCCCCUAAUGUUCUCUCCCCUUGGCUGUGAAAGGUGCGAUUUUUAGAAAAUGUAUGCAGUCCGAUUUAC